GGUUGGUUGAAUCCAUGGAUGCAGAACCCUUGGAUACUGAUGGCCAACUAUAGUUGCAACUAAAGUGGAUUCAUCGAAUCAAUUGCUGAACGUUAAAUCCAGCAUAAAGAAGAAAACACACAAAUACACCCCCGAUCUCAGUUCCAGUGGGAGAUAUCACGAAGAAGGGGUAACUGUGAAAGUCACUGUUGCAGCUUUCCGUCUAGCCUGCAGGAGUCAGAGGCUGGCACUUCUCACACCUACAUUGCUAAUUUUAAGACAAAUAUGGAAGUUAUCAAAGAUCAACAGAUAAAGAAAAACAGAACAGGAACAUUAUGUUUCCUUUGAGGCAUAACUGUAGAAAUGUGUAAGUUGGUUACAAAACGCCAUAACAGCUUAGUAAGGGAAACAUUCCUUCUUUCCAAAGGUGUUAUAUCCUACUUUGAAUAUGUAGCCCUAGCAGAAGAAAGCGUAGUGUAUUCAUCACAUCUUUACAGCUGAAUAAACUAUAUGUAUUUAUUUGGUGUGCUAUCUUUCUCCUGGAGUGGAACCCAUAAGAAAAGAUGAGAAAUCUAGAUUGGUUCCAGAACUGCACAAUAAUUAUAUAGCCAUCCCUAAGAUGCAAUUGGGACAGAGCUUUACUGCUUCCUGGCAAUGUUCUCUUAUUCUGUUGAGAAGAAUUGGGAAAUUCUCAACAAUCCUCAGAUGAGAUUUCCAGCUCUUGUUCUCUUAUGUUCAUCUAAGGAUGGAGCCCCAGAGCUGUAGCAUUAUAACUUCCACACCCUGCACUGUAAUACUUAGCUUUGGAAGGUUUGUACUUUUCCCAGAAGACAUGGCAGGUUGUUGUCAAUAGGAGCUUUACUCUAUUGACCAAAUAAAUCUCCUACAUCCAG